AUUGAACGCUAGCGGGAUGCCUUACACAUGCAAGUCGAACGGAGUGGCGAACGGGUGAGUAAUGUAUCGGAACGUGCCCAGUAGCGGGGGAUAACUACGCGAAAGCGUAGCUAAUACUGCAUACUAUUGGAGUGGCCGAUAUCGGAUUAGCUUGUGGGUGGGGUAACGGCGAACCAAGGCGACGAUCCCUAGCUGGUUUGAGAGGACGACCAGCCACACGGGGACUGAGACACGGCCCAGAAUCCUACGGGAGGCAGCAGUGGGGAAUUUUGGACAAUGGGGGAAACCCUGAUCCAGCCAUCCCGCGUGUGCGAUGAAGGCCUUCGGGUUGUAAAGCACUUUUGGCAGGAAGGCGGUACCUGCAGAAUAAGCACCGGCUAACUACGUGCCAGCAGCCGCGGUAAUAC
rnacentral:rRNA from 1 species